CUGAGAACCUUUAUCACUAACUACUACAAGCAGCUUUUCUCUUCUCGUGCAGGAACUAGAGCGGAUGAGCUCCUUGACAAGGUCUCCCCCAUUGUUACUGCUGAGAUGAAUGUCUUCCUUAAGAGACCUUUCACCAUUGAAGAAAUAAAAUUGGCUCUUAAUUCCAUGGGUGAUUUGAAGGCCCCGGGUCUAGAUGGCAAGCCAGCGGUCUUUUAUAAGCGCUUCUGGGAUCUAGUAGGGGACGUUGUGCAGGGCGAAGUUCUUGAGGUUCUGAACGGUGGCCAAAUUCCAGCGGGCUGGAAUGAAACGGUCAUUGUCUUGAUCCCCAAAGUCAAGAAUCCAACCCACCUUAAGGAGUUGCGGCCGAUCAGCCUUUGCAACGUGGUGUUUAAGAUUGUCACAAAGGUGAUUGCUUGUCGGAUGAAGGAGGUGCUUGAUGUGGUCAUUUCUCCUAGCCAGAGUGCCUUUGUCUCUGGACGGCUGAUUACCGACAAUAUUCUGAUCGCUUAUGAGACCACCCAUUUCAUGCGCCAGAGAAAGGGAGGUAGAGAUGGGCUUGCAGCAGUCAAGCUGGAUAUGAGUAAGGCUUUUGACCGUGUUGAAUGGCCUUUCUUGGAGAAGAUAAUGCUGAAACUAGGCUUCUCUAAUAGCUGGGUGCAACUGGUGAUGCGUUGUGUGACCACGGUCACAUACAGGGUUAAGGUGAACAAGAAUCUGACUGAGGUGGUGGUGCCUCAAUGUGGCCUGAGGCAAGGGUGUCCUCUAUCACCUUACCUUUUCAUCUUGUGUGCUGAGGGGCUCUCGGCUCUCUUCCACCGGGCUGAGGAGGAUGGAUCCCUGCAGGGAGUUCAGGUUUGCCCUACGGCUCCCAAGAUAAACCACCUCUUCUUCGCAGAUGACUCCUUGAUCUUUAUGAAGGCGAAUGAGCCAAGUGCUCGUAGGCUCCAAGAAAUCCUUGCUCUCUACGAGGAUGCGUCUGGCCAAAUGAUAAACAAGGAAAAGUUUGCUGUUAUGUUCAGCAAGGGAACUUCUCAGCGAGCAAAAAGGAAUUUUCAGAGGAUUUUACAAAUUCGAGACAAAGCUUUCAAUGAAAGAAACCUUGGUCUGCCAAUUUUCUUGGGUAGAUCAAAAGCCAAGGCCUUUGAGUAUCUUAAAGAGAGAAUCUGGAAGUUGAUCCAAGGGUGGAAGGAGAAAUUCUUAUCUAGAGCAGGGAAGGAGAUCUUGGUUAAAGCCGUGGCCCAGGCGAUCCCCAUCUAUGCCAUGUCCUGCUUUGACAUCACGAAAUCUUUCUGCGAUGAAAUUAGCUCAAUGGUCUGUCGCUAUUGGUGGAAUAAUCAAGAUGAGGAGCGGCACCACUGGUUGAGCUGGCAGUGUCUUACAAAGCCGAAAACUGAGGGUGGCCUUGGCCUUCGGGAUCUCCACAUCUUUAACCUGGCCAUGUUGGCUAGACAAGGUUGGCGACUACUUCAAGACCCCGAGUCUCUUUGUGGGAGGGUGCUGCGGGCUAAAUAUUUCCCUGACGGGAAGCUUCUGGACGCUGUUCCCGCCCCUGGCAUAUCAUACAGUUGGCGCAGCAUCCUAAAAGGGGUGGACUUAUUG
rnacentral:rRNA from 1 species